rnacentral:rRNA from 1 species
UCCAGGCCCUACGGGCGCAGCAGGCGCGAAAACUUUGCAAUGUGCGAAAGCACGACAAGGUUANUCCGAGUGCAACAUGCUGAAUGUAGCUUUUGGUAAAUGUAAAUAGUUUAUUGAAUAAGGGGAGGGAAAGUCUGGUGUCAGCCGCCGCGGUAAUACCAGCUCCCCGAGUGGUCGGGANGAUUAUUGGGCCUAAAGCAUCCGUAGCCUGUUCUGUAGGUCUUAUGUUAAAAUCAAUUGCUUAACAAUUGAACUGCAUGAGAUACCACAAAACUAGGAGGCGGGAGAGGUGGACGGUACUCCACGGGUAGGGGUAAAAUCCUCUGAACCGUGGAAGACCACCAGUGGCGAAGGCGGUCCACCAGAACGCGCUCGACGGUGAGGGAUGAAAGCUGGGGUAGCGAACCGGAUUAGAUACCCGGGUAGUCCCAGCUGUAAACGAUGCAAGCUAGGUGAUGCAUCAGCCACGUGUUGAUGCAGUGCCGCAGGGAAGCCGUUAAGCUUGCCGCCUGGGGAGUACGGUCGCAAGGCUGAAACUUAAAGGAAUUGGCGGGGGAGCACCACAAGGGGUGAAGCCUGCGGUUCAAUUGGAGUCAACGCCGGGAACCUUACCAGGAGAGACAGCAGAGUGAAGGUCAAGCUGAAGACUUUACCAGACAAGCUGAGAGGAGGCGCAUGGCCGUCGACAGCUCGUGCCGUGAGGCGUCCUGUUAAGUCAGGCAACGAGCGAGACCCUUGCCAUUAAUUGCUUCCAUCGAUCGAAAGGUUGGCGGAGCUAGUUAAUGGGACUGCCGUUGAUAAAACGGAGGAAGGAAGGGGCCACGGCAGGUCAGUAUGCCCCGAAACUCUUGGGCCACACGCGGGCUGCAAUGGUAGGCACAAUAGGUACCGAAUUCGAGAGAAUGAGGCAAUCCCAAAAUCCUACCCCAGUUGUGAUUGAGGGCUGCAACUCGCCCUCAUGAAUCUGGAAUCCCUAGUAACCGCGUGUCAACAUCGCGCGGUGAAUACGUCCCUGCUCCUUGCACACACCGCCCGUCGCUUCACCCGAGUUGGGUUUGGGGGANAUAGUGUCUUAUUGACAUUA